GCUUACGGCCAUACCACCCUGAGCGCGCCCGAUCUCGUCUGAUCUCGGAAGCUAAGCAGGGUCGGGCCUGGUUAGUACUUGGAUGGGAGACCGCCUGGGAAUACAAGGUGCUGUAAGCU
rnacentral:rRNA from 1 species